rnacentral:rRNA from 1 species
CAGUAGCCGCGGGAAUACGGAGGGUGCAAGCGUUAAUCGGAAUUACUGGGCGUAAAGCGCACGCAGGCGGUCUGUCAAGUCAGAUGUGAAAUCCCCGGGCUUAACUUGGGAACUGCAUUUGAAACUGGCAAGCUAGAGUCUUGUAGAGGGGGGUAGAAUUCCAGGUGUAGCGGUGAAAUGCGUAGAGAUCUGGAGGAAUACCGGUGGCGAAGGCGGCCCCCUGGACAAAGACUGACGCUCAGGUGCGAAAGCGUGGGGAGCAAACAGGAUUAGAGACCCCGGUAGUCCCUGUCUCUUAUAA